rnacentral:tRNA from 1 species
CAGAAAAUAGUUUAUAAAAAUAGCAGUAUUGGAAACUGCAGAUGGGAGGAUUCUCUUUUCUGA